rnacentral:rRNA from 1 species
UGAGGAAUAUUGGUCAAUGGACGCGAGUCUGAACCAGCCAAGUAGCGUGAAGGAUGACUGCCCUAUGGGUUGUAAACUUCUUUUAUAUGGGAAUAAAGUGGUCCACGUGUGGACUUUUGUAUGUACCAUAUGAAUAAGGAUCGGCUAACUCCGUGCCAGCAGCCGCGGUAAUACGGAGGAUCCGAGCGUUAUCCGGAUUUAUUGGGUUUAAAGGGAGCGUAGGCGGAUUGUUAAGUCAGUUGUGAAAGUUUGCGGCUCAACCGUAAAAUUGCAGUUGAUACUGGCAGUCUUGAGUGCAGUAGAGGUGGGCGGAAUUCGUGGUGUAGCGGUGAAAUGCUUAGAUAUCACGAAGAACUCCGAUUGCGAAGGCAGCUCACUGGAGUGUAACUGACGCUGAUGCUCGAAAGUGUGGGUAUCAAACAGGAUUAGAUACCCUGGUAGUCCACACAGUAAACGAUGAAUACUCGCUGUUUGCGAUAUACAGUAAGCGGCCAAGCGAAAGCAUUAAGUAUUCCACCUGGGGAGUACGCCGGCAACGGUGAAACUCAAAGGAAUUGACGGGGGCCCGCACAAGCGGAGGAACAUGUGGUUUAAUUCGAUGAUACGCGAGGAACCUUACCCGGGCUUAAAUUGCAAAUGAAUUAUGGGGAAACCCAUACGCCGCAAGGCAUUUGUGAAGGUGCUGCAUGGUUGUCGUCAGCUCGUGCCGUGAGGUGUCGGCUUAAGUGCCAUAACGAGCGCAACCCUUGUUGUCAGUUACUAACAGGUUUUGCUGAGGACUCUGACAAGACUGCCAUCGUAAGAUGUGAGGAAGGUGGGGAUGACGUCAAAUCAGCACGGCCCUUACGUCCGGGGCUACACACGUGUUACAAUGGGGGGUACAGAGGGCCGCUACCACGCGAGUGGAUGCCAAUCCCCAAAACCUCUCUCAGUUCGGACUGGAGUCUGCAACCCGACUCCACGAAGCUGGAUUCGCUAGUAAUCGCGCAUCAGCCACGGCGCGGUGAAUACGUUCCC